AUUGAACGCUGGCGGCAUGCCUUACACAUGCAAGUCGAACGGUAACGGGCCUUCGGGUGCCGACGAGUGGCGAACGGGUGAGUAAUGUAUCGGAACGUACCUUUCAGUGGGGGAUAACGUAGCGAAAGUUACGCUAAUACCGCAUAUUCUGUGAGCAGGAAAGCAGGGGAUCGCAAGACCUUGCGCUGAUUGAGCGGCCGAUAUCAGAUUAGCUAGUUGGUGAGGUAAAGGCUCACCAAGGCGACGAUCUGUAGCGGGUCUGAGAGGAUGAUCCGCCACACUGGAACUGAGACACGGUCCAGACUCCUACGGGAGGCAGCAGUGGGGAAUUUUGGACAAUGGGGGCAACCCUGAUCCAGCCAUGCCGCGUGAGUGAAGAAGGCCUUCGGUUGUAAAGCACUUUGUUGGGGAAGAAACGGUCGGAUUAAUACUUCGGCUGAAUGACGGUACCCAAAGAAUAAGCACCGGCUAACUUCGUGCCAGCAGCCGCGGUAAGACGUA
rnacentral:rRNA from 1 species